rnacentral:lncRNA from 1 species
CUGCAUACCCUGUUUACCUAAGUCAUGAGGAGAGAGCUGUAUCUAAAUGCUUUUGUUAUUGUUCUUCAAAACACAUACAUUUGAAUUAAUGUGUCUUCUGCUCAAACAUUUAAUUUCCACUAACCAUAGCUGUAUCAACAAAGAGAGCUUGGAUCUGAUGAAAAAUUCCCCACGUUUAAAAGUGGCAUUGCACUUUGGGUUCACUUCUCUCUCAUCAAAAUCAUGUUUGCCAUGCCUUUCCACACAGUGUAUCCCUCCACGGUCUCAUCUGACCUUUCUCUGCAUCUGUGUUUUCGUUGGCUUUCAGACAGGAUGGCUGAAAAUGAGGAGAGAAACAAGAGAAACACACGAACCUUCACAGUCACAGAUGUUUACGGCUGAACGGGACCUCAAGGGUCAACCGUCUGGCAACUGUGGCUAUGUGAAUCAGCGGGUACUGGUCCUAUGGAUAAGGGGGUCCUGUUGUAACUUCCAGUUCUGCAUGAUUUAGUCCAGUAUCUUCUCAUGGCAAGAGGCCUCAUUUCACUCCUGUUCCUGAAGUAGAUGCAUUUCAUUCUGGUGGGAAACAAACGCUGAAUGUAUUUCAUCAAACUAUUGACAAUAUUUCAGCCUAACAUACUUUGCCAAGGACAACAAGCAAAGAAAACAAAGGACUGUGCACAGAAAGGACACAAACACAGCAAUCCUGUCAACUACCAGGUGCAAAAUGUCUCCAAAUAUGAAAAGCCAGCAUGUCAAGGAGAGAGAAUAACCCUUCUCCCUGAGUGGCCAGCUUUCUCCUCUCAAGGAGGAAGGCUUGGGAUGGAGGGAACAUCCAGAUUAGUAGACAGCUUCAUCUAUUUUCUGAUCAGGAGCAACCCAGCUUAUUCUCUUUUGGUGAUGCACCAACCUAAUCUUUGUCCAAGUCUGGGAUGGUAUUUGUGCAUUUCUGCUUCUCUCUGAAUUCCCCAUCCUUGCGAAUGGGGAAAUGCAGAUGGCAAGACUGAAUGGUGCAGACUGGACAGAAGAGCAUCACCCACUGGAAAAGAAAGAAAGAACUUGAAAAGGGAAUGGGCACAUGCAUCUACGCUUCCUGUUGUUUCUUUUUCUCCUUCCUCCUACAUAUUGUUCUCUGGAUCUGAAAUAACUCUUGAUGCAAUCACAGACAUUGGCAAUUUAAUUAAUGAUUUUGCAGCACAAAAGGCAAUUCAAUGCCCAGGUGAAGAUCCUUUGUCUUCCUUAGUUCCUCUUCCUGCACAAUGUGUGAAUGCUGGGUUUAACAUGAAGAAUGCCUCCCCCCCUCCGUGUUGCUUCAUCCUUGGGGGCAAUGAGUAGAAAUGCCCAAAUAGCUCUGAUUCAAUUCAUAUUUACACAUUUCUCCGAAGCCAGUUCACAUAUGUAACAUUCAGCUUUUCAGGUGUUCCUAAAAUUGUAAACAGAGAAGUGCCAUGAGAAACAGGUGCAUGACCCACUCCAAAAGAAGGAGAGAACAGUGUCACCCUCAGAAGAGAACACUUAUGCUUUCAAAUAAAGGAAAAGCAGGACAUGUUGCUGUUUAUUUU